rnacentral:rRNA from 1 species
UUAAGUAAGAAAGGGCGUACGGUGGAUGCCUAGGCACUUGAAACUGAAGAAGGACGCAACAAACGGCGAAACGCGGCGGGGAGCUGUACGUAAGCAAAGAUCCGCCGGUAUCCGAAUGGGGGAACCCGGCAUGCGUAAUAGCAUGUCAUCCGCAGAUGAACAAAUAGUCUGCGAGAGAGGUACCUGGGGAACUGAAACAUCUAAGUACCCGGAGGAAAAGAAAACAACAGUGAUUCCCUGAGUAGCGGCGAGCGAAAGGGGAGGAGCCCAAACCAGACCGAGGUCUGGGGUUGAAGGACCGCGAUACGGCAAGAAUCAUGGUAGGAGAACGGCAUUGAAAGGCCGACCGGAGAGGGUGCAAGUCCCGUAUCCGAAACCGUGAGGAAGCCCAGCGGGAUCCUGAGUACGGCGAGACACGAGAAAUCUUGUCGGAAGCAGGCGGGACCAUCCGUCAAGGCUAAAUAUAAGCAAGUGACCGAUAGUGAACCAGUACCGUGAGGGAAAGGUGAAAAGAACCGCGGGAGCGGAGUGAAAUAGAACCUGAAACCGUAUGCUUACAAGAAGUCAGAGCACGUUAAGGUGUGAUGGCGUGCCUUUUGUAGAAUGAACCGGCGAGUUAUGUUAUCGUGCGAGGUUAAGCAGGAGAUGCGGAGCCGAAGCGAAAGCGAGUCUUAAUAGGGCGGCAGUACGAUGACAUAGACCCGAAACCGUGUGAUCUAGCCAUGACCAGGUUGAAGUUCAGGUGAAACUGAAUGGAGGACCGAACCGACCCCCGUUGAAAAGUUGGCGGAUGAGUUGUGGCUAGGGGAGAAAUUCCAAUCGAACACGGAUAUAGCUGGUUCUCCCCGAAAUAGCUUUAGGGCUAGCGUCGAGGAUGAGUCUUGUGGAGGUAGAGCACUGAAUGUACGAUGGCCCCAUCCCGGGGUACUGAGUAUAAUCAAACUCCGAAUGCCAUGAGAUAUUCCCGGCAGUCAGACCGUGGGUGAUAAGGUCCAUGGUCAAAAGGGAAACAGCCCAGACCGCCAGUUAAGGUCCCAAAAUGUAUGCUAAGUGGAAAAGGAUGUGGGGAUGCACAGACAACUAGGAGGUUGGCUCAGAAGCAGCCAUCCUUCAAAGAGUGCGUAACAGCUCACUAGUCGAGUGACCCUGCGCCGAAAAUGUACCGGGGCUAAGCAUACUACCGAAGCUGCGGAUUUGUAGUAAUACAAGUGGUAGGGGAGCGUUCCAUGCACGUGGAAGCCAUACCGAAAGGAGUGGUGGAGAGCAUGGAAGUGAGAAUGCCGGUGUGAGUAGCGAGAUGCAGGUGAGAAUCCUGCACACCGAUAGCCCAAGGAUUCCAGGGGAAGGUUCGUCCGCCCUGGGUAAGUCGGGACCUAAGGCGAGGCCGAAAGGCGUAGUCGAUGGAAAACAGGCAGAUAUUCCUGUACCCGCGAUGGAAAUGAAGGAAUGACGGAGAAGGCUAGCAUGAGCCACUUAUUGGAUUGUGGUCGAAGCGAAUAGCAGGUGCAUAGUCAAAUGCGUGCACGGGAUGUAAAACGUGACAGGUAAGCGAAACCCCUGGGGAGUAGCGAAGCAUGCGAGGCCAGCUUCCAGGAAAAGUUUCUAGUGCUGAUUCCAUAGCGGCCCGUACCAAAACCGACACAGGUGGGCAAGGAGAGUAUCCUGAGGUGAGCGAGAGAACUGUUGCCAAGGAACUCGGCAAAAUGACUCCGUAAGUUAGCGAGAAGGAGUGCUUAUGAAAGUAAGCCGCAGUGAAGAGGCCCAAGCGACUGUUUAACUAAAACACAGCUCUCUGCGAAGUCGCAAGACGAAGUAUAGGGGGUGACGCCUGCCCGGUGCUGGAAGGUUAAGAGGAUUUGUCAGUUUCGACGAAGCAAUGAAUUGAAGCCCCAGUGAACGGCGGCCGUAACUAUAACGGUCCUAAGGUAGCGAAAUUCCUUGUCAGGUAAGUUCUGACCCG